rnacentral:rRNA from 1 species
AAAGGAAUAGACGGGGGCUCACACAAGCGGAGGAGCAUGUUGUUCAAUUCGAAGCAACGCGAAGAACCUUACCUGGGCUUGACAUGCAUUUAGUAGGAACCCGAAAGGGGGACGACCCGUAAAAUCGGGAGUUUGCACAGGUGCUGCAUGGCUGUCGUCAGCUCGUGUCGUGAGACGUUAGGUUAAGUCCUGUAACGAGCGAAACCCUUGUCGCCUGUUGCCACCAUUAAGUUGGGUACUCUGGCGAGACUGCUUUUGUUAAAACUGAGGAAGGUGGGGACGACGUCAAGUCAUCAUGGCCCUUACGCCCAGGGCCACAAACGUGCUACAAUGGCGGGUACAGAGAGUCGCAAAGCCGCGAGGCGGAGCAAAUCUUCAAAGCCCGCCCCAGUUCGGAUUGGAGGCUGCAAUUCGCCUCCAUGAAGUUGGAUUCGCUAGUAAUCGCGGAUCAGCCACGCCGCGGUGAAUACGUUCCUGAGCCUUGUACACACCGCCCGU